AGGGCCGGGCAAGACCGGUGCCUGCCGCCGCGGUAACACCGGCGGCCCGAGUGGUGAUCGUGAUUAUUGGGUCUAAGGGGUCCGUAGCCGGUUUGGUCAGUCCUCGGGGAAAUCUGAUAGCUCAGCUAUUACGCUUUCGGGAGAUACUGCCCUACUUGCCACCGGGAGAGGUAAGAGGUACUACAGGGGUAGGAGUGAAUCCCUGUAAUC
rnacentral:rRNA from 1 species